GACGAACGCUGGCGGCGUGCUUAACACAUGCAAGUCGAACGGAAAGGCCCUGCUUUUGUGGGGUGCUCGAGUGGCGAACGGGUGAGUAACACGUGAGUAACCUGCCCUUGACUUUGGGAUAACUUCAGGAAACUGGGGCUAAUACCGGAUAGGAGCUCCUGCUGCAUGGUGGGGGUUGGAAAGUUUCGGCGGUUGGGGAUGGACUCGCGGCUUAUCAGCUUGUUGGUGGGGUAGUGGCUUACCAAGGCUUUGACGGGUAGCCGGCCUGAGAGGGUGACCGGCCACAUGGGGACUGAGAUACGGCCCAGACUCCUACGGGGGGCAGCAGUGGGGAGUAUUGCACAAUGGGCGGAAGCCUGAUGCAGCAACGCCGCGUGCGGGAUGACGGCCUUCGGGUUGUAAACCGCUUUCGCCUGUGACGAAGCGUGAGUGACGGUAAUGGGUAAAGAAGCACCGGCUAACUACGU
rnacentral:rRNA from 1 species